rnacentral:rRNA from 1 species
AUGAGUUGGGAGGUGCUAACAAAGCCAAAAAGUAAAGGAGAAUUAGGGUUCAAAGAUCUUUAUGGAUUCAAUAUAGCCAUGCUUGCAAGACAAGCAUGGAGGAUGCUUACUGUUGCUCACUCUUUGUGUGCACGAGUUCUUGAGGCAAAAUAUUUCAAGGAUUGCACAAUCCUAGAGGCCGAAGAAAAACCAGAAAUCUCCUACACAUGGCGUAGUAUCCUAAAGGGAGUUGAGUUAUCGAGAGAAGGGGUGAUCUGGAGGCUUGGAGAUGGUGCAAGCAUCUCGGAGUUGGAAUAUACGCUUUGA